rnacentral:tRNA from 1 species
AAUGAAGUGUCUGAUAAAAGAAUUAUUUUGAUAGAAUAAAGAAUGUAAAUUAAUUUUACCUUCAUUU